rnacentral:rRNA from 1 species
AUUAGAUACCCUAUUAUUUUUAUUGUAAAGUUUAAAUAUAAGUUAGAGUAUUAAUAGUUAUGGUCUUGAAACUUAAAGAAUUUGGCGGUAUUAUAGUCUGUUUAGAGGAAUCUGUUAUGUAAUCGAUAAUCCACGUUGAACCUUACUUAUAUAAUUUCUUGUAUAUCGCUGUUUAAGAAAAUACUUUUAGGUAAUUUUCUGAAUAUAAUAUUAUUUAAUAUUUCAAGUCAAGGUGCAGUAAUAUAUAAGUUGAAUAAUGGAUUACAAUAAAGUUUAUUUAUUAUGAAUUGUUAUUGAAAUAUAAUUUGAAGGUGGAUUUAAUUGUAAUUUUGUAAAGAUUGUUAAAAUGAUUUAAAGCUCUAUAAUAUGUACACAUCGCCCG